AAUUCUGGCGUCUUGAUACAUUUUGCUGUAGAGAUUAUUGAGCUAAAUUGCUAAGCUACAAGCAUUCACUGUUCACUGAACCAAAAUUACAUUACUCAAAAACUUAGAACAAGAAUGAGUGCAGCACUCGUUUAUGUGCAACUGGAAACCACAAACUGCAAUUUGUAUGUAAUAAUCGGGUUACAGAGAAACAAACGUUGCCUUGCAGAAUCAAUUAAGAUUAUAAUCUGUCAUUAACCUUGGAAUAAGAAUAAUUCCGUUGCCUUGCAGAAUCAAUUAAGAUUAUAAUCUCUAGUUCGCUGGCUAGAGAACUCUAGGAGCCUAAUUGGUUGCGUGUUCUCACAUAAUAAAAGCUUCCGGGGCCUCUGAGAACGGCAAAGGGAUGUUUUCCUGGUUGUUGUGGGCUACUGCAUCGUUGGAAAAUGUCCUGAUGGGUAUAUCCUUUAAUGAAACUAGAUCACAGAUGUAAACUUCAAUGAAACUAUACCACAGAUUUUUACAUUUGAUACUAAAGCUGUAGUCUGGAGGUAAGUACAGAACGGCAGAUUCAAUAAUUGAUCAAACAGAGCAACUAGCUCCAUUUAAACUAAAAACAGAACCAUAACAACGAAUACUAUAUUACUGCAACUACAUCAUAAGAACAACAAACGAAUUCAUGGAAACAACUUACCUUAGAUUGGAUGCAGGAACAAAUUCUUCCUAACCAUCUACCAUGAAGAAAAACACCCAGCCCUUCAUGGUGCUGCUGCUCUGAAGCCUCGGAGCUCAGAACUGGGCAUAUGCCACCCAUGGCCUGGUAUAUAUAUCCAUAAGAAACCAUAUAUGAAGUGCAGUCUAAGGAUGGGCUGAUGGUUCGCCAGUAGCUUUUGGUUUGUUGGCUGGUUAGUUCAGAGC
rnacentral:lncRNA from 1 species